rnacentral:rRNA from 1 species
UACGGAGGGUGCAAGCGUUGUCCGGAUUUAUUGGGUUUAAAGGGUGCGUAGGUGGGCUAGUAAGUCAGUGGUGAAAUCCCCGAGCUUAACUUGGGAACUGCCGUUGAUACUAUUAGUCUUGAAUAUCGUGGAGGUAAGCGGAAUAUGUCAUGUAGCGGUGAAAUGCUUAGAUAUGACAUAGAACACCAAUUGCGAAGGCAGCUUACUACACAGUUAUUGACACUGAGGCACGAAAGCGUGGGGAUCAAACAGG